AACCAAUUUACGGGAUGACAUAAUGAGGCUUGACGAUACAGAUGGCUGUAAGAUGGGAGUUGUGAGUCCCUCAGUUGGAGUUUGUGGUUUGGGAAGCUGGCCCACUCACUGAAGAGACGAGACAAGUAUUGUGGAGCUCUUGUGAGAAGAGACAGAAAUACACGGCCCACAGUUCAUCUUUGUGCCUUUUUGUAUUAAUUUGGGUCUCUAUAAACAGUAUUUAUGAUACUAAAUACGUCUUAUAAAAUUAAUGUGUUUCUUUAUCCUAGAUUAAAUUAACAAGAAUGUA
rnacentral:lncRNA from 1 species